AGACGUGUGCAAAACAUUUGCUAGCUCUAUAAAUAUUCUGGUCUGUCGGAGACUUUAUCAAAGUUCCAGCUAUUGUCGACGAGAAUUGAAAGUAAACUAUUCAACCAUGAACGGAAAAAUUGUUCUGAUGCUCGUAGUGUUGGGCCUUAUGGCAUUUGCUGCGGCCGAGGAACCGUGCAUCUGUGCAACAAUAUACGCUCCAGUCUGUGGCGUGGAUGGCAACACCUAUUCUAACGCAUGUACAGCCGGAUGCAAGAAUGUUGUUGUUGCAAAAGAGGGUGCGUGCGAAGCAACAACAAAA